rnacentral:misc_RNA from 1 species
UGAAGAGUGGUCUGUGCCCAUAAC